rnacentral:tRNA from 1 species
GCCAUCCUAGCUCAGUUGGUAGAGCACACCCUUGGUAAGGGUGAGGUCCCGGGUUCAAGUCCCGACGAGGGCA